rnacentral:rRNA from 1 species
AACGAACGCUGGCGGCGUGCUUAACACAUGCAAGUCGAACGAAGUGGCGAACGGGUGAGUAAUACGUGGGUAACCUGCCCUCCUUUUUGGGAUAAGCCUUGGAGACGGGGUCUAAUACCGGAUCAAGGGGGGUGGGCUCGCGGCCUAUGAGGUUGUUGGGGGGGUGAUGGCCUACCAAGGCGGUGACGGGUAGCCGGCCGGAGAGGGUGACCGGCACCAUUGGGCGUGGCAUACGGCCACGACAGGUAGGGGUGGGAGCAGUUGGGGAUAGUGCAAAAGGGACGACAGCCUGAGGCAGCGAUGUGACGAGGGGGUUGAAGGCUUUCGGGUUGUAAACCUGUUUCGAUAUCGAGUGGGUAGGUGGAGAAUAAGCGCCGGCUAACUACGUGCCAGCAGCCGCGGUAAUUC